UCGCCCUACGGGAGGCAGCAGCCGCGGUAAUACGUAGGGGGCAAGCGUUAUCCGGAUUUACUGGGUGUAAAGGGAGCGUAGACGGCAUUGCAAGUCCGGAGUGAAAGCCCACGGCCCAACCGUGGGACUGCUCUGGAAACUGUAGAGCUGGAGUGCGGGAGGGGCAGGCGGAAUUCCUAGUGUAGCGGUGAAAUGCGUAGAUAUUAGGAGGAACACCGGCGGCGAAGGCGGCCUGCUGGACCGUAACUGACGUUGAGGCUCGAAAGCGUGGGGAGCAAACAGGAUUAGAAACCCCAGUAGUCCAU
rnacentral:rRNA from 1 species